UACAGAGGUCUCAAGCGUUGUUCGGAUUCAUUGGGCGUAAAGGGUGCGUAGGCGGCGCGGUAAGUCGGGGGUGAAAUCCUGGAGCUCAACUCCAGAACUGCCUUCGAUACUGGGAAGCUCGAGUUCGGGAGAGGUGAGUGGAACUGCGAGUGUAGAGGUGAAAUUCGUAGAUAUUCGCAAGAACACCAGUGGCGAAGGCGGCUCACUGGCCCGAUACUGACGCUGAGGUGCGAAAGCGUGGGGAGCAAACAGG
rnacentral:rRNA from 1 species